UAGGGGGCUAAUUUUAAGGACCAGAGAGAAGCCUCUAGGAGCUCAGAGUGGUCCCCAGCCAAGAUCCAGCAAAGAAAUAGGACCUCAACUCUAUACCUGCAUCAACCGAAUUCUGCCAACAACCUGAAUGAGCCAGGACAUGGCUUCUCUCCAGAGCCUCCAGAAGGGAACGCAGCCCUGCUGACUCCUUGAUUUCCACCUCGUGAGACUCGGAGCAAAGGAACCACCCAAGCCAUCUAUACCCGGACUUCUGACCCCCAGAACAGUGAGAUAAGAACUGAAGGUAAAGAUUGUGGAAAGUCAUCUUUCACCUCGUGGACAAGGGUCAUACCCUAGGGAUGGCAAAGCAGAAAAAUGGAAGGAGCCUGUGUGCUCAACACUAUUGAGCUGCCACUUGGGCCUGGGCUGCCAUCUUGAAUGUUAAGCAUCCACCGAAGCAGUCUAGUCUGUGCUCUGAAGCUACAGCCAUUGAGGGAAAGGUGGAGCCCUGAAAAAGAAGUCAGGUGCCACCAGGAUGGGGAAACAGGUGCUGGGCAGCCAAAAUGGCAAAUGUCCUCUACAGCUAAUACCAUUACACUGCUUUUGAGGCAGAAUAAUAACAGAUCAGUUUUGGGAUGUUUAACAAAAUUCUUUUGUUACUUGACAGACUCGUUU
rnacentral:lncRNA from 1 species